AUAAGGCCCAAGGCCCAGUCCCGUGAAAGCCGGGACCGCCCUCUACAGGAAUGCUGAAUGCGGAAUGCGGAAUGCUGAAUGAGCGGGGGCGCGGCGCUGACAGCCACGCGG
rnacentral:ribozyme from 1 species